CCGUGCUCUGCUGUGUUCUAUUCUACUACACCUGCGAACGACGUAGUCCCCCUCUCUCAUCGCCCCCCUCUCGUCCCCCCCGCCUCCCGCUUCGCGCAUCUCACCGCCAUCUCACUCCCGACCCACCCCCUUUCCCUUCCCGCUUCUAAUUGAGCGCCAAAGCGGUGGACGUUUGAAUUCCCCGCAGCUUCCGCUUCGAGCGCCUUCUCGAACCUUCUGUAGACGGCGGCGGCCAGCCCCGGUUCUCUCCCCUUCUACCCUAGGGUUUCGCGUUCCCCUCGGGCAUGGAGGACGCCCCCGCGGCGGCAGCCGCUUCGGCUGCGGUGAAGCGGCGGCGCGGCGGCGACGAGAGCGGCGCAGGGCUGAGGCGGGUGGCGGAGAUCGUGAUGGUGCUGGCCGCGGCCGGGGAGGUGAGGGCCGGGAGGGAGCCCACGGCGGCGGAGCGGGCGCUCGCGGCGGAGGCGCGCGAGAGGCUGGCUGCUGCCGUUGCUGAGGGGGCCGUGCGGCCGAAGGAUUUGUUUCCGGGGGAGGCCGUGCGCGCGGUCGUCGAGGAUCUCGGCCUCAACCGCGCCAAGGACCACGCUGCCAUGGGGUUCCGCCCGCCGAAAGCCUCCAUCGCCGACAGGCUCAUGCUUACUAAGCGCAAGAUGGAAGAAGUCAAGGAAGCUCAAGCACAACCAACAAUUAGUGCACCUCAAGCAAUUGUCUCAAGUGGAAUGUCUGAGUUCCAAGGUUUUCAUGGGGCUUCCAAGUUUGGUGUUGGAGCUCCUAGGAACCCACCAGCUGUUGCAGCAUUCGCUGCUACUGCCCCAUUAAACUCUGCAUCCCUAGUUAUCUUGAGACCACCAGGAUCAUCUCCUGUAAAACCAGUUAGCAACUCCUCAGUUGUUACCCUACCCCAUACUGGUCCACCGCACCUUAAAUUGGAGAGAGAUGUUAAUGGUGCUCUGAAUUUAGCACGCAAUGGAGCAACCAUUGUCCACUCUAACAAAUCAACUCAAGACACAUCUGCUAGGUCCAAUGUAAAUGCUAUACAGAGUUCCAGUCAACUGUUGAAAAAUCAGGACACAAAGCCAGUGGCAAUUCGAGCUGCAACAGGUAACCCUGCUACGGGGCAUCCUGCUACACCAGGAGUGGCAUUUGUUCCACCAAAACCUACUUUUGCCAACCACAACGAUAUUGCAAAGAGUGUUCAACAAUAUCUGCACCAACGUAAGAACCAUCCUAGCUGGACUUCACCAUCAACUGAGUACAUGCAUUCUCGCUUGGGCUGUCAAAUAUGCAAAGUUGCUAUCAUGGAUGCGGACAGUUUGCUUGUUUGUGAUGCUUGUGAGAGGGGAGUUCACUUGAAUUGCCUUCAGCGCUAUGGUAAUAAGGGUGUUCCUAAAGCUGAGUGGCAUUGUUCAGCAUGCCUGGCACAGAGUAAGGGCAAACCCCUGCCACCGAAAUAUGGCAAGGUUACAAGAACUGUUGUUGCAUCAAAGGCUGCUCCACCUUGUGCUGGAGCACAAUUUUCGUUGCAGGGAUCAGCAGAAAACAUGGCCGCAAAGGAGAAUUGCCAAAAGUUGGCUGCAAAUGGAAAUCUUGUGAAGUCAAUAUCCACAAAAGCUGGUAGCACUGUACACAACACUAAUGUAUUGGCUCUGAGUGCUACCACGGCUGGUUCACAAUCACAAUUAGUUUCUACCUUAAGACCUUCAAUUGGAAAUGCUAUUAAAGCUGAAUCAUCCUCGAAUGAAAGGGAAGGAAGUGGGCAAUCUUGCAGUAAUACAAUAGAACAUAAUAUGAAAUCCCUUCCUAAUAAAAGAUUGAGAAGUGGUUUCUCUUUGAACUCUGUGGAUUCAGCAAAUGAUAUCACGCAUGGUAAGCAAGGUACAGAAAUUUCUGGGGUAAAAUGCCCAGAUAAUUCUGCUGGUGGUGCUGAAGCAAAGAUCAAGUCCGAAGCACACUCUGAGCCCCUUCCGAGCAGAGAUGAGGAAAUGGUUGAUAAUAGUGGAACAUCAGUGGAACAAACUGUUGUUACUGAAGAAAAGCUCAGGACACAAGCAACCUUCAAGCCAGAUAAAAUGAAAGAUGUGGAGACUACUACCAACACUGGAACAUCAACAGAUCAAGGCAGCAACUUCUCUACCGAAGAAAAGCUCCACAGUGAAGUAGCUUCUGAGCCACACACAAUCAAUCAUGUGGAGAUGACUGCCAAUACUGGAAUAUCAUUAUGCCAAAGCAGCAAUGUUGCUAUUGAAGAAAAGCUCCAGACUGAUACAGCCUCUGAGCCACAUACUAUCAACGACAUGGAAAUGAGUACCGCCAAUGCACCAGCAGUGGAUCAAAGCAGCAGUCUUGCUAAUGAAGAAAAGUCCUCUGAACGAACCUCUGCAAUCAAUGAUGUAGAGUUCACCAGUUACACUGGAAUAGCUACAGAUCAAAGGCAGCAUGCAAACGGGUCGACUGAAAAUGGAAUACAAGAACCUCCCAAUGCAGAAGCAUAUAAAGACAAACCUGGCUGUAAUGCACCCUCAGAUCAUGGUAGUACCCAAAAAGUAGCCCCAAAUGGCAUCUUAUGUUCCAAGGAUGAAAUUUUAUGCGAUAAUGAAAAUGAAGCUGUGGGUGUCAAUGAAGAAGCAAAAGAAGCCAACUAGGUUCAGUUGUAGGUUGCAUACAGUUUUCUCUUGCAGAUGGAAGUAUGUGGAAUGUACCAUUUGUUUUAGCAUCAGUGAUUAACUGUGCUCUCUACAUUCUCUUGGAUAACUUUUUAUAAAUUUAGUCAUCGCCAACCAUUUUUCCUGGAGGUGCCCGCUGCUUCCUGGAGUAGCUUAAAAAGGCUAGAACACAGGGCUGUUGUACCUUUUGCAGUUCAACUUCUGUUUAUUUAUUUCUUUUUCUUGCUUUUUCUGUGCCUAUCUCUGAUGCUGUAAUUAGAUAGGGUCUGGCUGAGUGAGGACUGGAUUAUCAUGUCACAAUAAUGAUUUUUUCCUUCGCCAUCACCUUGGGUCAUGUACCAGUGUGGUAGUGUGUUCGCGGUACUUUGAAUAUAGCCGUGAAACUUUGUGACCUUUGAGCUGCUAAUCCAUCUCAUUCUCCGUCCA